ensembl:lncRNA LAMTOR5-AS1 LAMTOR5 and SLC16A4 antisense RNA 1
GCUUAGAGUUCUGCACCCCCCAGCAUGGAGAGCAGAGCGCAAAGAUUUCUUCCGGACUCCCACAUUCCCCUUGGAAUCCAAGAACUGGUCUACUGUCACAACACUUUAGUACCCUCUUGAAUAUUUGCCAUUGGACUUAGGACUCGCUUCUGUAAUACUGGAUGAUCCCAUGUCAGGAUCCUUAAACUAAUUACAUCUGCAAAGAGCUUUUUCCCAAAUAUGGUCAUAUUCACAGGUUGGAGUGCGAGAGAGACAUAUCUUUUUGGAACCACCAUUCAACCCACUAGUGUGUCUAAGCACUCCGAGAGUUCUGUCAUGUACUCGUAAUACACCUGAGAGGAGGGUAUUAUUCCCAUGUUUCAGAAGAUAAAACUGAGGCUCAGAGAGGUGAGAUAACUUGUACCAGUUCAUAUCAUCAGUGAGUGGCUGGACUAGGAUGGAAACUGAGGGCUUCACCACCCAGGCAAGAGGGCAGGGGCCAGCCUGUGGAAAGAUAUGGAAGAAUGCAAGCUCGGCCCACGGAAGAGCUGUGAGCAGCUUCAUCCUGCUGCAGUGGUCUGAGUCAGUUAUCUCCCAGUGCGCUUGCAGAGGUGCAGGUGUGCGCACUGGGCUGUGUGAUCGGACAGCCCACAUGAGCCUUUCACAGGAAAGAAGCAACUCGUAGAAAGGGCUCUGCAGGGGCCUGGACGUCAGCAGAUGAUGGCAGAGGAAGCUGAACGGAGAGCUGGGCCAGGUCUCAUCAGCAGAGGAGCUGCCUUUGGGAGACGCCUUCCUUGUUAGGCAAUUCUGUGGUUGGUUCUGGACAUUGUUCUUGGACACUCAGCUGCAUCCUGCUUCUCAAGACACCC